GAGGAAGUAAAAGUCGUAACAAGGUUUCCGUAGGUGAACCUGCGGAAGGAUCAUUACAGAGUUCGCGCCCCCUCGGGGUCGACCUCCCAUCCCGUGUCACAUCCAACCCACCGUUGCCUCGGCGGGCCGCCCCCGCGCGCGCCCGUCGAAUGGCCCAUGAACCCUGAUGUCGUGUCGUCCGAGCAUCAUGCAAUCGUUAAAACUUUCAACAACGGAUCUCUUGGCUCUGGCAUCGAUGAAGAACGCAGCGAAAUGCGAUAAGUAAUGUGAAUUGCAGAAUUCCGUGAACCAUCGAAUCUUUGAACGCACAUUGCGCCCCCCGGUAUUCCGGGGGGCAUGCCUGUCCGAGCGUCAGCUCACCCCCCGCGCCCCGCGCGGUGUUGGGCAUCGCCGCACGCGGCGGGCCUCAAAAGCCUCCGGCGGCGCCCCCGGGCCCGCGGCGUAGUACCACAUCUCGCCGCCGGGCCUGGGCCGACGCGCGCCCGCAACCCGCCCUUUGCAAAUCGACCUCGGAUCAGGUAGGGCUACCCGCUGAACUUAAGCAUAU
rnacentral:rRNA from 1 species